AUUUCAUGCUCUUCUUCAUUGUCUUCUGAAUCCGACAACUCAUCUUGAUCGAACACAAUGUCAACAUCGGCAUAAACCCCAUAAUCAUUAAGGUUCUCUUGUUGUUCAUCCAUUGGGAUAUUUAGAUCAAAAGAAUGGAGUAUUUGAUGUGGAGAAACAAAAGGAAAGACUCCACCAGCCUCAGGCUGGUGAGUGCUUUAAAGGCUGGAGGUAGAGUGUGUUUUAUAGCCGUGAGAAAGGAGCAGUGGCAGAGUGGCAGACCAGCG